CUGUGAAGAUCUAUGGGGAAGUGGAGGCCUGAAAACGAAAUGGCGACAGAAUCGGUAGAUUUCCACGUCCGAAACCCGAUUGAAGUGUCUUUAUCGUGCUUCGUCUCUAUACCUGAUGCCAUCGAGAUUGGCGGAUUCGAUGAAGGCAGGCUUCGCAUCGGUCCAAAAUAUUCGAUCGGUCGUGUAAUCGAUCGUCAAACCAUUCGGCCAAGUGAUGGAAGUCGUCACAAUCGCUGUUCUGUCCGAACCAUCCAUAUCCGCUCGUUCGAUCUUCGGAUUCGAUCCUUAAUGUUCGAGCAAAGACAAAAACAUCGAUUUAACCUUUGUGUAUGAACGAGAACUCGGCAAAACGGUUCAGCAGGCAAAACACCGUAUUCCAACUGAGUUCAAUGAAAUCUGUUCGUUCGCAUUUGCCAAUGGAAAGAAUCGUUGGUAUUUUUCUACGUCACGCUUCUCAAAGUUUUUAGGAUCACUGACCUUCCUGAUGUCCACGCGAUUCGUGAAUAGCAGUUUGAGAUUAGCACCGAUGGCUUUACAAGUUCGGAAAUCCGGUCGCAGCACGUAGCCGCGCAUACAGCUGCACGUGAAAGAU